ACAGACGCCUGGGAGCCGAGACCCGCUGAGCAGCCGCACUUCGUUGCUGGCAGCGUCCUCGUAAACAACGCCAGUCGCCUAAGGCCAAGCCGACGCCAGCUAGCCCCUCCGACACAGGUGUGCGGGUGCUGCGCAACAGCAUGUGGGUUGGCGCCGAGUGCGUCGCCCAAGGCGUCCUCAGUACAGGCGAGGCGUCAACUGAGGCGUCAUCAGGCGAAGAAGACGAUCCUGGUGGCAGCACCAGCGCCACGGUGGAAACAGCAGCGGAUUGUGAGCGGCUGGACCAGAACCUCUACGGAAAGAAAAGCCCAUAAACAGUACUGCGAGAAUAUAUUGGGUGCCGUUUCGGCCUCUCAGGAAUGCUUACUAAUUAAAAUAUUUGUUCUUGUACGUUACAUGUUUAAAUGCGGACAGUAAAUUUAUGAAAUUUGUUUACAAACGGGAGAAAUUUGAGCAAUCGUGUCACUGUACUCUGAAGAACGUGUUUUGACAACUGCAUCAAAACGAAGUCUGUCACUAUGAUUUUUGUGUCAGUUAAAUGACAACACAGUGUGAAUAACACCCUUGUACACCCAUCAUUUGUAUUAUCAACACAUCUUACUAGUGCUCAUUAUAUGCAACACGCAGGAAUCCUUAUACAUCCAUACGUGUUACAAGAAAGUUUGUCCUCUUCACCAUAAUUCAUUUAGAACAUACAGAAUUCUGCAAAUGUUAAUUUUUUGUGUCUUAUAUAAGCGUUUGCAUGUUUGACGCACCCUAUUCUCUGUUUAUGUUCAUAUCUCUUAUGCCAGACAACACACCAUGAAACAGGUAUAUCCAAAAAAUUUGUACGAAACUUGGGUUCUUUGCCCAAGUCAGAAAUUUCGAAUUACACCAAGAAAUUCUCGCGUCUGUGCUUAUAUAUUGUAAGAAAUUCAGGAUAUUGUUUUCAAACAGAAAAAUGCGUUGAACUGAAAGAAAGAUCGGAAUUUUAUAAUGAUUAACGUCGAAAUAAAUAUUACCUUAUUCCCAUUCUGAUUACAAAUAUCCAGUGAAAAAAGUAAUCUGCAUGACUGAAGUUCUGUACUGAAGUGACCUACACGUCAUCUACAACUAUCCAUUAAGAUUUAUGUGAUUCUUAAUAAACAUUCUUGAUGAAGUUAGAUAUUCUUAGAGUUCUGUAAUCCGCUAUGUUUCAGCAUAGAACACUCUCACUGUGCAUAACUGUACCGCUAUUCCAAGUAUAACACGCUCAGCAGAGCACAGCAGAACACUUCUCCAUGUUUACCAAAGUAUAAUAUUUAGUUUCGUAGUACCUAAUGAGAUUUCUUGUUUUUAUGGCAUUGGUGUUCUGCAAUUAAGAAAGCAUUACAAAGAAAUUAUAAUUCCUAGAAAAAAGGUGGAAAUAUCUGGAUUGUCAUCUUUUUGACUUACUGAAUGCAUUGAAUACACAUGCUCAAUUAUCUGACAAAGGUUGUAAGUUUUCCACGAGAAAAAGAUCAUGUUCUCAUUGAUAAGUUCUCAAUGAUAAGUCUGUGAAGUAUUGUACAAAACCAGUGAUAUUAAGCAAGGAUGAUAAAAGGCAUAUCUGUUAGCUGUCAGUUCAUAUUAUCACAGAAAAUUCAUUAAUAUUUCUUUAAUUCAGAGUGCCCUGAGCGAAAGACACCUAUUGACCAUUAAAAUUAACUUAACGUUUUUUUUUCUCUCCUAACGGUAUCGUUGGUGGACAUGACUCUACACAAUAAAUAUCGGGGUGGAGAGGUUCAAAAGGGAAGGAGGUGGUGUUACAUGAUGGAUUGCAUUAUCAUAAUUGGCAUUGAUUGAGUGUUUGAUUCAGAACGAAGUCAGCAAGUUACUGAUUUUAACACUGUUGAAAUUCACUAGUUCUAAAGAAAUUGCAUUAUUCUGCAAUAACUGAAAGAUGAAAAUGAAAUUUGUGAAAGUAUCGUGAGUUACCAUAUCUAACUCUUUGUCUUACCACAUUGAAUAAAUGAGAUCGUCCUGUUGGACAAUAUUUAAUAUCCGAUCCUACGGUUUGCUUAUCCCAAAGUAUAAUUUCAUUAAUAUCCAGCCAUUGCCCAGCUUGCAUUCUUUCUGCUCGUGUUCUGGAUCUCAUACCACCUGCGUCUGUAAUUUCUAAGACAGAAAAAAAGCAACAAUUUCUUUGUUAUCAAGAGGGUUCAGCUUCAAAUAAUUCAGAAUUAAUAAUAUUUCCUGGAUUCAUAGGACUGUUGAGAGAGCUUGCGAUUUUACCAAACUCUACUAGUGAGACUGACGUUAUCAUUCUGUCUCACUUAGAACUUCAACAGAGAUAUAAUGUCGUCAUUACCGUUCCGUCUCUCAGUAAUAACCUGGAAAUGACAUGAUCCCAAAAGUCUUAAUGUCGCAAAUAUUUGCGUAAACGAUAGUUAUGGUGCUCCUAAGCAUAACAGUCGUAUCAAUAUGAUCUCUACAGUUAACAAUGCAUUUCCUGUAUUAAACAGAGCACUCAGUGUGAAGUAUGAAACUAUACAAAACAAAUGAUGAAUUGAAUACCCUGGGGGUUAUAUUGUUGCAAAGACGAAACCCUUCUUUAUUUUCUAGCACUUUAUCAUAUUUUAAAACGUAAAAAAACUUGAGCAACUUAUAGCAGAGUAGUGUGACGAUAAAAUCUAUUAUUGCUAUAUUCAUCAAUACCAUUACUCCCUCGCAUACAGCAUCUUCUUUCUUGUUUAGACUGUAUGUAACUGUGUAGUCAAAUUUCCUAAGUAUUCCGGAUUACUACGAAGUAUCCACUUUCAAAGAACUUACGAAGUUAUUCCCUAUACGGUUUCCGAUUUAAAACUAAUGAACUGGCAGUAUGAAGCAGAGCACAUAUAUCUCCAACACGCUAUGUCGGUUCUGUUACAGUAACUAUAGAACUGAAAAAAUUGUGUUUAUGCAGAGUGAAUGGAAGUAAUUGAACAAUUUGUCUGUAACACCAAUCACUGUUUGUUGUUCUGUGUAUUAGUAACAGUUGUAAAUAGAUAUAUUAUGUAAUUUGCACUGAUUAGUCAGCAUAAGUUCGUAAUGGAAGAAAACAAUAUAAAAGUAGUAUGUAAAUACACACGUGCCUUAUUAGAUUAAGUUGACGCUUGCUCUAAAAUACAUACGAAGCAAAUUUACUUCAAGCUGAACAAAUGCAACUAGCAUACAUAAUCUUCCCCGGUACAGAGAAAGAUGUAUCCUUCACCAGCCUGCCGCCGAAUUAAGCGGCCUCCUUCGCUUUCAGCUGCUUUCAAAUCUCACAACGCUCCGUCUAUGAGCCCACAAUACGCCAUCUUGUAGCCUCUAAUGCUAAACUUCAAACACCAAUAGAGGCUACACAGUGCUAGCUGUCGUUAUGCAACUAACCGGGCUGCACACAUUACAGUAGAACAAAUUGCGCCUGUGUAAAUAGGACUCUUCGCUACUUCUCUUGCAACAUAAUGACUCAAAACUUGAACCGCGUUGCCAUGGAUUGGCCAACAAAACUAACUGAGGUAAUACAAAAAUUGUACGCUAAUCGUAAAGAAAUAUGCUUUAUAAUCUAGUUUCGUCCUUAUGUGUAAUGUUGAAUGUAAAGAACGUAAAUGUUGUAUGUGUGCCACUGUAAUUAAGACUAGAAAUUAAUUCCGAAGAGAAAUAAAUUACUUAAGAGCUUCUGAAAUUAAAAUUAUUGUCAGUCCACGUGAGAUUCUUUUCUUUAAGUACACACGAUAAGUAGUGGUACAAACUUCGAGAGGGUUUACUUGAGACGAAGAAAACGGAGAAGUCUACGUAAUCACACCGCCCUAAUUAUGCUGUUUGCAGGAAGUAAUCUUUUUAUUUAAAAACUAUACGCAAAACAUUAACUAGAAUGUAAAAGUGUAAUACGGAGGCUUUUAUGACGGAUCUGCAUCCAUCAACUUGAAAGGUAGCUGUUAGUUUUCUAUUUUUGCUGUCAGUUUCAUCGUUCCACGAGUGUAGUUUUAGUCAGGUGCCUUUUUCCUGCAGAGAUUCCAAUGACUUGUCGGCAACUUCAGUCUCGGUACCACUUACAUUUGCUCGACUAUCGGAAUCUACAACUGUGUUAUAGUUUUCGCAAGCUUCUUCAAAUGCUGCCAGACAUUCCUAGCACAGUUUUUCAUCUUCAGGUUACCAGAUUUUCUACUUGUUUAAUAAAGCGACUCUUUACAAUGAUCUAUUUGGUAUGACGCUGGAAUAAGAUAAUGGAAAUCUGAGAAAACGUUUUUCAUGUCUUUGAAAUUGAAACUAUCCAGAACAUCUUCAUUAUCCUAUAUUUUUCCUAGGUAUUUCACUACCUGCUUCAGCAACUUCUGCUCGUUCCUCCCCUUCCAAUACAAGGUUUGCUGGUGGAACUUUUUUGGCACAGCUCCCUUCAUUAUAUGACGGCUGAAAUGCAUAUGUAGAAAUUAUAAUAAAUUCUAAAAGAAAAGGAUGUCUGAAUGAUUUCUGGCCUGGACGUUGAUAUCUUGCCUCGACAUUUCGUCUGACAGUCAUUUCAUGUGAGAUAUCUGAAGAAGGUUUAAUGGUUGACAGCCGAAAUACUGUGGCAAAAUAUCGACGCCAUUCGGCUGCAUUCUCGGAAUCUAUAAAAUACUCAUUACACCAGGAAAACUUCAAGAAUGAAAAAAAGAUGCUUUACGAUGAAGAAAUGAGAACCCAUUUGGAUCGGAAAAGAGGCAAAGGAUUGUGGCGAUCGUGAAAAUUAGAGUCGAGACCCCGACCCCCUUAAUAUGCAUGCAUUUACCAUUCACUGGCAAGUCUGUACACAAUUCACAGGCAGAUUAUAAGACAGCGCAACUCGAGGGUUGCUGGUGAAGAUCUGAGGGCUUACUUUCGAUCGUGCCAUCAUCCUCAGACAUCCAUGUGCAUAAUAAUCGGAGCUGAAAGCCUUCACACAUGUAUUUCACACAUGAAUGAGAAGGCAAACUUUCGGUCAAAUACUGAGCCAUAAAUUCUCUGGACCUAUUUCAGCAGGAAAUACAUAUGGUAUCACUCUUACGUUCGCAAAAUAUCAUUAUACUCUGACCGCCACAAGCAUCUAAGUACUUCUGUAGUUCGAAAUACCUAUAAAAACACUCGAUACAAGGCAGAAAUGUAGAGAUGCAGCCAACAGGCAACAAUCCAUGGCUGGAUUCCGGUAGAGUCCACUUUUUUUUUUUAAUUUCUCCUUCCCUAUCCUCUUACCUCGCCUCCACCCAAAUGUAAUUUGCUGUCUCUCGACUCUCCCACUUAUUUACAGUAAACAUGAAAAAUGUUUUAAUAAUGUAAUAUUUAUUUAUUUAUUUAUUGUUGUACAAUUAUGUUAAAUUUGUCUCUUGAUCAUAACUUACACGAAUAAUGAUUUACUUAAUACAAAAUCGAAGUGCUAACUCACCAUUACCGGUGUAUCGCCCAGCACUACGAUUGUGAACGCAGGCCUGCGGACUACGGCUUUGCGUAUCUGUAAAUGCUAUUUCUUUCAAUAGUUUCUUAUUUCAUUCCGAAAAGUUAGUCUUCUUGUAAUUUUUGCCCUGGUGGAGGGUCCUUCCCUUUCUCUCCUGUCUCAUCAAUCUUCCUGUCGUUUGUCACCCAUAGCUGUGGACCCAUCAACAUACAGGAUAUGUUGUUGUUGCCAGGAAUGGCCAAACUUUAGACGGGCGCAUUCACUUGGCUGGAAUCCUCCAUGCAGCCGGUUUGCUAGCAAGCGCAUCUACGCAAAACUGUCUUGUGAUAAACAUGGCUCAUAAUGUACCACAAUUCCUUGUGGUUUUUACAUUGUUUUCAUGCUUCUCUACUUUUUGAAAAUUAUAUAAGAACCUUGAAAAUUGAUAUAGCUAAAAAUCAUACAGUCUUGAACAUGGUUGACUCUCUCAGGUACCGUAUUUAAGUUUUAAGGAAGGAUAAAAAUAACCAACCGGUUUCACAUUUUUUUUUUUUUUUUUGCAUUGGCCUGGUUUCGAUACCAACUAAGAGUAUGUUCAUCAGAAUUACUGAUAUCUCUUCUCAAUUAACAUAGAGAAUAACAACCACAUCAGAAGCCUCAAGUAGCACUAGAAGUAUUAAAAACAGGAAACGUUUUACUUCUAUAAAUUCACAAUACAUGGAAACAUAAUAAAAACAUAUAGUCUGAAGUGCUCAUGUCAAAUAAGUAAAAGUUAUCUUGUAACUCCAACAUUAAGACCAUGAAUAUAGCUGACAACUAGACCAGACAUCAUACCGAAAGGAUUAUUCGCAACUGUUUAACAUACUGUCAUUCUUUGGUUGAAGGUCUUUACACACAGUUCUCAGACGUCUUUUCCUCACCCGUCAGUUGUUUUUAUUGUAUUCCAUAGAUGUUAUUUCUGCUAUGUUAACUAUACUCAUUUUAAGCACUUUAAUGCUAUUUGCACCGGAAAAAAUGAGCGUACAACUGCAGUUUCAUUUUACAGCCUUUUCCUGUAAAAUUUAUUUGUGGCCUAUCCUUAUACCUCUCUUGCUAAGCUUGGUCUCUUGUUAUACCUAUUUUCAUUUAUAAUGACUUAUAAUUGUUUUCUUACUUUGUGCCGAUGAACGCUGUUGGCACCCCAUAGGUGGCGCAUACUGCGCUGUUUCCAUGUACCGGCAAAAUCCGUUGACAAACCUUUCAGCCUGCUGUCAGUCCUAGUGGGUUGCUAUUCAGCUGUAAUAGAAUGAAAUAGUUUUGGGGUGAGAAAGAAUGAGACUGAUGUACGCAUCAAGGAUCCGUGAUAACAUAGAUGGAGCUUCGUAUUUCGUCUGCUACAACUUGUUACACGUUAAUAUCUCAUAUUUCUGCUAUAGUGUUAGGUCAGGUAGUAUCGGACAGUGGACUGUAACGGAUAGGAGCUGUUUCUAAACUCUAGCGCUACUCUAAGUACCUAAGACUCCAACGCAGUGUGAGUUACGGUAAAAUUAAGACCGUUCACGCGAUUUUUUAUAAAAACAGCAGUGCGUUUCGGAAUGGCCAGUCUAUAUGUUUCCUAUAUGUUUUUCGGUGCACGAACUUACCUUUGAAGCAUUGUGUUUUCUUUUCAAAUAAGUAAUAGUACAUAUUUGUUGUACCUUUAGAUAACACUGAUAUAAUUCUGUAUAUCGUAAGUUGUGGCAAUGGCAAGCAUAGCUAAUAACAAUGUGAAUCACAUUACUACGUUCGGGUUUUAUUGGGCAAAGCAUUUUCAGGUUGUACUGGACAAGACAGAUACCAUAAAUACUAAAAUAUUUACAGUUUUUUUUUCUUUAACAGGGAAAUAGACAAAAUUAGACUUCGUGAAAUGUCGAUCAUGGGAAAUACUCAAUUUCAAGAUGUACAGUAGGUGACAGGCUCAAAAAUUUAUAGGAAAAUAAUGACGUAGCCACGAAACCUGUUUUAGAAACUGACAAGUCUUUUUCAGAGGACAUUCAGUGAUGAACAGGAAACAAUAUCACACGAUCAAUGAAGAUUGGAUCCAAUGCCACAUUUGCGAUGGUCUCUUGUAGAGCUGAGCCGUCUUUACCGUAGGUGUGAUAAGUUUCACCAAAGGUUAAACUAAUAUUUGAUUUACAGUUAUUUUCCCAGAGCCUUAGUUUACCAACUUUAAUAAUAAUUUUUCCUUGUUUGAGUCAACUUUCUCUCGAAGUGGAAAUUUCGAACUAUGGUGUAUAAUUUGUACUUACUUUGGUUUAAUAUUAGUAAUCAUUUCCACUCCAAUUAAAAGUUUCUUACCACAAAAACGACUCCUUACUAGUUACAGUUUCAUUGGCGAUACAACCAUUAACGGUACAAUUAAAACUUUUUCUAACAAAAAUGACAUUUUACUCGUUAAAAUUUCAUUUUCGAUACCACUCUCCAAAAGUUAAACGACAAAAAUACAAAAAGUGGUAGCAGUACAAGAAACAACGAAAAUAUAUUCUUAUGACAUUGAGUUUUAUAAUUUUAUCAAGAAACCUACCAUAUUAUUGUUAAGCGCGAAAUAUGUUCAUAGACAACCCUCUGAAAAAAAUUAUAAUUUCGGAAGAGUUUACCUGUCCGAUACCACCAGACAUUUCCCUACUCUUAGUUGGUUGAUUUUCGUCCACACAUUCCUAUUCAUAUAAAACCAUUAUAGUAUCAUUUACGUGUUCAUGAUAAGUUGACGAUUAAUUCCGACCGAAUUUAGUUCUUCUUUGAUUUUUAGUUUAUGCUCUGUGGAUUAUUAGGGUCAUGCAACUUUUCCAGUUUUCGUAUUAUUAGGGGUAGUAGUUCACAGACACGCAAACUGUUUCCCAAUUUUAUAAAAAUCAUAUGAACAAAUUCCAAUAAAAGUGUCUCCCAGUGAAUAUUAACGACAUUAAUAUAAAAAUACAAAAAUAAUAGCUUGUAAUAUUGUUAUUAAAAUGCUAUGCUUCAACUAAUUGGUCUCAAAUCCGAACAGACUGAAUGAGAAACAAAAAUUGCAGAUGUGAACAUACAAAUAAAAUUAAAUACAACAGUCAUGUCUUUGUUGCUAUAAGCCUUCAAAACAACAGUUCUUUGCUCUUUGUUGACGUCUUGUGCUCUUUGAAGGCUGGUAGAUAAGGAAAAUUCGGAAUGCUGCUUCACGAAACCGGGAAAAAAUUUGUUGCCAACAGUUUUCUUGUUCCUGUUGAAUCGAUGAAGUAAGCACAAAUGUCCCGCUAAAUCAUAAAUCAGUUUUAAAAGUUCUGUUAUCUUUAGGGCAAAAAAGCAAAAAAAAACAGUAUUCUAAAUGUUUAAGAUGUUUCAUUAUCUCGUCUUCAACUGAUCUGUGGAACUGUUUUUAAAUUAUCCAAAAGUAUGUUUCACUACUGUACUCUCCUAAUGAACGCUUGUGGACAGAAAAGUGCCCUGCUAUUUCCUGACGCUGAAAUUUCCAUUUAAUACGCCAUCGACAGUUUCUUUCGUUGCCUUCUCAUCCAUUCCGAUUUCUUAGAAACUGUCAUUCUGACUAUAAUCCCCGAAAAAUGAAAGACAGCUUUAGUAUGUUUGUCUGUAGAACUGAUUCUCUGCCCAGAGAUGAGCCCAAACGUAGUGCCUGAGGCCUGAGGCCAGGCUUAAAAAGGUUACUGCUAUUCAGAUAGCGAUAAGUUUCGUUAACAAAAGAAAACUAUCUUAUUCUUAAUUCUUGCAUAUUUUAUCAAAAUUAUAAUGGUUUCGUCAAACCUAACAGAAGAGGGCCGAAAAUUCCUAUGAAGAUAAUCUGCGUAGCACUAGUAACAAUGGAUAUUCAGUUAACAACGGGCCAGUACAUAUUCAUCACAUAAGUAUUUGCAUACCAUACGGACACACAAUUCCACAACAGCUAUUCUGAUUUUUACAUUCUUCUUUAUUACUGGCCCGAUGCAAGUUUUCAGUGUUAGCAAGUGCUCAAAAUAAAUUCGGUAACUUCGGAAUCCAGUUCCUAAGUUGGAAAUGCUAUGUUUCUUAUACCAGAGCUCUGUUGCGAAUUGCUUGUUCCUAGAUUUUGAAACAGCACUAGCAUCUACACAAUACGGAUGGUGUAACUGUGACGAAAUAAUGUUGCAGAUAGUUUUCAUCGAGAUCUGAUGAUGGCAAAUCGACGAAACUUACUAUUUGUGAAACGUAUAAAACGUAAAUACUCAUGAUCUAGGCUGACAGUUGUCAUAAAAGUGCCAAACAUGGUAGCUACCUCUCAAACAAAGGUCUUGUUUUGGUAGCUAAAGCAACAUGUUUUUUUUGGUUUAAAGACCAUUAUAGUAUAACCCGUUCUGAUUCCUGGAGAUAUGUUCCCAGUGUUUAACAUAUCACAGAAGGUUGUUUUUAGCCGUAUUCUACUAUGUGUUCUAAGAUGUCGAAUGUAACACGAGAAUCGUGAGGCUUUCGCCGUUAUUUCCCUUGUCUGAUCUGGAAAGGAGGUAUUUUCCUGUAAUUUAGCAUCAGUUUCAUUCAUCCAGCUUCGUGUCCGUUUCAGCUUUGAUGUCAGGAUUUUAGGCAACUUUCUCAGCUCGCGAUUGAAAGAGCCAAUUAGUAUGGUGUUCCACUUGGUUCUCGGUGAUAAUUGUUUGAUGCACCAUCUUGAUUACACAAUCUUGCAUUUUUUUAAACUUUCGUUAGGUGAUUUCUCAAUACUAGGACUCUAGAACCAAUUUCUAAUUCUGAAAAUUAAUUUCAUUUCUUCUAUCACACCAGGGUUUUUCACAAAAUUAGAUUUGUAUUUUAAAUGUUUAAGUAACUAAAGCACAAAUAUUAAAAUAAAAUCAAGUUCUAUGGUAUAUAAAUACUCUCUAAUUUCUUAGGUAUAUACAAAUGGUUCCUUAGCAACAUUUGAUUUUGAAACCUUUUUUUGUUGUUUUCCUCGUAAAAACCUACAGCUUUAUUGUUCCUCUUCAAGACGCAAAAACAACCCGCCAUCAUACUUUCAUUUCUCUUCUCCAUCCGCUAAACAUCUUGGUGGACACUGCUCUUCACUAUUAUGUCCUUAGAUUUUCAAAGAGGUAGUCAAUAUGUGAGUAGUGAAUUUUUACACUCAUGUUACAGCCCAUCUUCUUUAAAUUUCCCAACAUGGUUUUCACAAUAUUUUUGUAAUUUUAAGGUUUCUACUCCCUUGAAAGUUUUCAACAUUACACCAGAACGUAGUCUAUUUAUUUCAUUCUCAAAUUUGUUAUCCUUACUCAAUUUAUAAGUCUGAGCAGCAACAAAAAUUCCAGUAUGAAUUUUUCUCCACUGAUAAAGGGAAAUUUGACAAAAAAAGAUAUUUCAGAGUAGCAUCCAUCUUGUGGAACAGUUUAUAACACUGCUACAUCGAGGCCAGUUUGAUGUGCAGAGGUGAAAGCAAUAUUUUUGCGGUCUACAAACGGUUCAUGCAAGAUAUUUUUAGUCCAAGGUGCAAAAUGUCUCCGAUCUGGCCAAACCUUUACCUUCGAAUGCUUUUUCUUUGCCCAGUUACCCCACUCACAUAAAAAUUGGGACAUUUUCAUAUCCGAAUUGCUAUCCAAAUAAAAUUCCUUUAACUAAACUUAAUAAACUUGAUUCUAUCGUGAAAAAAACUGUACGUGAUAGACGAAAACUGAAAACAUUUUCGAAAUGAGCAUAAAAAAUAGUUAAGAACACUUAUUGAUGUUCAGUCAUCUGAUGUCACCCAGAAUAAUAUUAUAUAUGAGCUGCAUGUUGAAACCCUGGUCAGGAAGCGCGCGUGUCGUAUUAGGCCGACAAAUGAAUUUUUAGUCGGCACAUGCGUCGAUGUGCGCAAAUUCAAGACUUCUGCUGAGCCGACGCGAGGCGUAAGGGGCUAUGUAAAACGCCAAAAGCGUGACGAUCACCUCGUCUGUAGCACAUCCUACUCGACUUAAGCGGGGACAAACGAAAUGUUUGGCUUAUGCCAUACCAGUGUGUCCAGUUCACGUACACGUAGAGCAGGAUCUGUGAUGUGCUUCAGAUCCUAGUAAGAAUAAGGAAAUCAGUACAUUGCCAUUGUGAGGUUAUGCUGAAAUGAGUAGAAUGUGUUUAGAACAGAUACUUUUCAACAGUAAACGGUAAAUGAAUAUUUAAGAUAUUUGCUUUAGACAUAUCCUGUUCCAUUAUCCAGAAAUUGAAAGUAUUUAAAACUAUGUUUCUAUGGGUUCUUCUUCUCCUCUUGGUCCCAGGAAUACUCUCUCGAAGUUUGUAACGUUGUUCGUGAAUACACCGGAUAUGUUUGUCCUUUAGCCUUCCAUAUUUUUGUAACACCUAAUGCAUGAAUUAUUUAGUACUGCUACCUAAUUUCAGUUGUGGAAACACUCAUCAGCUAAGAAGCAACGCAUCUGCCGACGCCGUAACGACACAACGGUGCAAGUCAGUCAAUGCUAAGAUCAUGAAUGGUUCCUAAUUUCCAAGUUUCUACAAGUUUCUGUUCGCUAAUAAGCCUACUGAUUCGGAGGAACUAUAAACGCCUUUUCCUGAGUUUUCUUAUUUAAGUAAUCAUGAAUGGCAUGUAAGUAGCUACUGUAUAAUAUGCAAAUAGUAUUUGUAAGUCAAGUUUCCGUAACCAUAGUUUCUACAAAGUCAGUUUCCUUUAUGGCACCACAUCAUGUGCCUUGACUGUAAAAAAGAAAAUGUUAAUAACGAUACCCGAAAAUCUUAAGCAAUAAUUCUGUAAUCGAGCAAUAAUGACACCGGCAUUACAGUUGAAGGACCUGUUCCUCUACACAACCUAUCGUUUGCACUAAGGUAACAUGGUACAUUGUGGUAUCGCACAACAGCCAGCGACGCUUUAGAGAGUGAUUAGAAAUCAGAGUUUCAUUUGUAUUCUUGACAUAUCGUUUAAUGUUAUCUGAAUGCCGUGUGUGUGUAAAUGUUAGUGUUUUCGUAUGUGUAUGUCUGUAUAUGUAUGUUUAUAUUUGCGUAUGAAUGACUAAGAAGAUUCAGUGGCGGACACCCAGGCAUUCAUUAAUCGAAAAAGAAUACGGAUAACACACACGGUAGGAGACGUUUCAUUGUAGAUAACGUUUACAGACAUAGUAAGAAAAGUAAGCAGCGGAAACAGUAGCGUCUAUUCGCUCUAAUCUGUUUGGUCUGUGCAAUGUCAGGGUAGCUUCCGUUCACAAUCUUCAGCGCGUUGUAAUACAAUCAUAAAUUGUUCUCCUUACUUUUCUAUUAGGCAUUUUUCGCGCGAAAUCGCAAUGAAUGUGUUUUAUUUCGCAAUCGUCGCUGAAAGUAAACCUCAGAAAGCAAUGAGAACAAUGUAUCCAUGAAGGAACUUUUAAUGUUAGUGCUGUGUUUUAAUAGUGUUCGUGUAUUAUUGUAUGUGUAUACUGAAAAAUUACAGAGCGUUAUAAAUGUUGUUAACUAUAUGUAUGCUGCGAUAGCAAUUUCUGUGUUUACUGUUAAAGACUACAACGAAUUAAUUCGUGUUUUAUUGAUUUCUCCAUUAAUUCCGUUGCCGCAGACUCACUACGUGAAUCAAACAUGCGGAACGCGUGUAUGAAGCAAUACAAAUUGUAUUUAAGUCACAAUUGUCUCUUUCUCGGAAGAUACAGUACGAACUUAAAUAUUAAGUGUUAUUCUCAUUAAGGAAAAACAAUACUAGUGAAAUGAGAAUAUUUGAUCAUUUCACCAACCUAAAUGUGCUUUCUGGAGUGCUGUGUUUUAGCAAAACCCAACCCCGAAUGAAUGGUGAAGUGAAUGUUGUUUUUGAGUUUUUUUGUAAAGUUAAGUAGGAAAAUUAUAAGUAUGUAGAGGCGGUUAUCAUUUUAUUUUACUUGCCUUCUGUGAAGCAGUACACUACUCCUGAAAAGAUGCACGCAGUUUAUAAGUUUUUCAUUUUUAUCAAUUCGUUUCUGGUGCGAGUGGCUGAAAAAGCGUUUUAUUAUGAAAGAGAUGUUGCUACAAUAAAUGAGAAGGCUGAUUUCUCGUGGGUUUUGGAUGUGAGUAUUUGUAUUAUAGGGGAUACUGUAUGGCAAUUGUUCAAUAAGUGUCAGCUUAGCACUAAAAUGUAUCCGCUAAUGUAGUUGAAAAAUCGCUUACUUUAUCUCCAGUAACGUAACCUAACAUUUGUGUUGAAUUUACACUAGAUCUUAAAAAUCAAAGAUAAAAUAUGGAAGGAAGUUAUUUAUAAUUCAAAUCAGAACGGAACCCUCAUGGCGUAAGUUGGCCAAAUACGCAAACAUUGCUUAAUGACAACAGUAGCUCUCACAGUUACAGUAAUUUACCACAAAUGUCACUAGCUUUCUUCAGCUCGUUACAGGAAUAAGAAAAUAAUCACAUCGGAUCUAACUCUAAGUUAACAUCCAGAAUAAUGUUUUUGCGAAGAGUAACAGGUAAUAACGACAAUAUUUUUAUUAACAUCACACUAAAUUUAAAAGAUAUGUCUUUCAGUUAAUAAUCAGAAUAUAAAGAAUUGUUACAGUGGGAAUAUUUCGAGAUGUGUAUGCAAGCAGUAUUCUUAGUUAUAGAUGACGAGACAACAGAUAUUUCCACCUUCUUUCUACGGAGUAUCGUCUGUUGUACCUAUAGCCAUAAAAUUUUAGUCCUUGCCGUUAUUUUAGGAAGUUAUAGUCCAUCAAGGACAUACUGGAAAAACAGCAAAGUAAAAAAUCGUUUUAUCCUGCUAUGUACAGUUUAAGUUUUACUGAAUCAAAGAUGUCACAUUAUAUCUUUAUUUGAAAAUUUGGAUAAUACGAUCCAAAAGUAAGUAACAAUGAUGUGGUCAGAUGUAUUGCAGUAUUGACAUUAACUCAUGAGACAGCAGUAUAAUGGUCUCGUAUACUAUAUUGUCAAUGUAGCGUUUAUUGCAUAAAUGAGUUAUAUUUUAUUAAAAUACCUAUCCCAAAUGCAUAUCAUAUAGCAUAAUUGAACAGGGCUGUUUGAAUUAUAAUAAAGCAUAUCAGGAGAAUAAUAUACUGAAACGUGUAGAGAAAUUGUAAAUUUGCAGUAUGACCAGAUAAACGUCUGGUUAACAUAUAAAAUGCCAAUAGUAUGAAAUAAGGCAUCACAUGUCAUGAUCUUUUUUCUUAUUGGGCAUCACACAAAACCAUUCCAAUCCAGAAGAACAUGUUCGUUGUACUGUCUAUUAUCUGCUUGGAUGUUUUGUAUUAUAUUUCUCGUUAUUUUUAUGAAGUGUUGUUUCUGAAGCUAUUAUUCAAUAAAUGUUUAAAAUUCGAACAGCUCUUACCAGUUAAAUUUCAAUAAUGAACGACUCAUUGAAUUUGUAAUUUUAUAAUCUGCAUUACAGAUGAUGUAUAUUAAAUAGAUUUCAGCUUUUUAAAAAUUAUUUUAAAAUAAUGCUAAUGUCAUUGAAUGAUAAAUUACACAUUGUUUAUAUAUAUUUAUACAUAUCAACUUUAUGUCAAAGGUAUAUGAAAUAGUAACUGAAAUUUACAGACAUUUAGAGAUACAAAAUUCCCUUCAUUUGUCGUAGAAUAGUUUCGUAUUUUAAAAUAUAACCUUAUCUUUUUGGUACCUCUAAUAAAUUGUAUUAUUUCACUUC